CCUACGGGAGGCAGCAGUGAGGAAUAUUGGUCAAUGGUCGAGAGUCUGAACCAGCCAAGUAGCGUGAAGGAUGACUGCCCUAUGGGUUGUAAACUUCUUUUAUAUGGGAAUAAAAUGUUCCACGUGUGGGAUUUUGUAUGUACCAUAUGAAUAAGGAUCGGCUAACUCCGUGCCAGCAGCCGCGGUAAUACGGAGGAUCCGAGCGUUAUCCGGAUUUAUUGGGUUUAAAGGGAGCGUAGGUGGAUUGUUAAGUCAGUUGUGAAAGUUUGCGGCUCAACCGUAAAAUUGCAGUUGAAACUGGCAGUCUUGAGUACAGUAGAGGUGGGCGGAAUUCGUGGUGUAGCGGUGAAAUGCUUAGAUAUCACGAAGAACUCCGAUUGCGAAGGCAGUUCACUGGACUGCAACUGACACUGAGGCUCGAAAGUGUGGGUAUCAAACAGGAUUAGAUACCCGUGUAGUC
rnacentral:rRNA from 1 species